UACGUAGGCAGCGAGCGUUGUUCGGAGUUACUGGGCGUAAAGCGUGCGUAGGCGGUGUCUUAAGUUUGUUGUGAAAUCUCCCGGCUUAACCGGGAGGGUGCGGCGAAUACUGAGAUGCUGGAGUGCCGGAGAGGUAAGCGGAAUUCCUGGUGUAGCGGUGAAAUGCGUAGAUAUCGAGAGGAACACCUGCGGCGAAGGCGGGUUGCUGGGCUGACACUGACGCUGAUGCGCGAAAGCCAGGGGAGCGAACGGG
rnacentral:rRNA from 1 species